UCAAUAUUAUUUUUAUAUUAAGAAAUCAAUUUAAUAAAAAUAAAAAUAUAAUUUUAUACUUUCUUAUGACGAAGAAAAAAAAUAAUUUACUAAAAGAUUACCUGUAAUUUACCAUUAUGCCACAACUAUUUGCAAUACCUCGUGGCGAAGAAUCAGCCAUCCAAUUUAUUCUCCACAUGAUAGCUCCAUUACGCAAGUGAAAAUUUGCUAUGGUACCAUGCACAUGCCCGAAGUAAUGGUUUUUUAAGUAAAUUUGAUAAUUGCUCGUCAGAUGUCCAUAAUGAGUUAUUAAAAACUUUUUUUAACAUUGACAAUAUAUCAUCUGUUUGAAAAAUAUUUUUUAUAGAUUCUUGCUCUUCUAAUGUAAAUAUGAAAGAAAUAUCUAAAAAAAAAACGGAUAUUUAUGUAUUUACAUAUGAAUGUGUGUAUGUA